UACGUAGGGGGCGAGCGUUGUCCGGAAUUAUUGGGCGUAAAGAGCGUGUAGGCUGUUCGGUAAGUCUGCCGUGAAAACCUGAGGCUCAACCCUGGGAUGCCGGUCGAUACUGCCGGACUAGAGUUCGGAAGAGGCGAGUGGAAUUCCCGGUGUAGCGGUGAAAUGCGCAGAUAUCGGGGAGGAACACCUAUGGCGAAGGCAGCUCGCUGGGACGUUACUGACGCUGAGACGCGAAAGCGUGGGGAGCAAACAGG
rnacentral:rRNA from 1 species